rfam:TPA: Bos taurus chromosome 18, whole genome shotgun sequence.
ACUUAUCAGCUCACAUCACAGAUCAGAUCCUGGAUAUGAUCUGAUCUGUGAUGUGAGCUGAUAAGU